rnacentral:piRNA from 1 species
UUUUUCACAGAUUAAACCAAA